rnacentral:rRNA from 1 species
CCUACGGGUGGCAGCAGUGAGGAAUAUUGGUCAAUGGGCGAGAGCCUGACCCAGCCAAGUCGCGUGAGGGAGUACUGCCCUAUGGGUUGUAAACCUCUUUUGUCGGGGACCAAAAUCCGGACGUGUCCGGCUGUGAGAGUACCCGACGAAUAAGCAUCGGCUAACUCCGUGCCAGCAGCGGCGGUAAUACGGAGGAUUCGAGCGUUAGCCGGAUUUAUUGGGUUUAAAGGGUGCGCAGGCGGAGUUUUAAGUCAGCGGUCAAAUCGUGGGGCUCAACCCCAUCCAGCCGUUGAAACUGGGGAUCUAGAGUGAGCGAGAGGUAGGCGGAAUGCGUGGUGUAGCGGUGAAAUGCAUAGAUAUCACGCAGAAC